rnacentral:rRNA from 1 species
GUGUCAGCCGCCGCGGUAAUACGGAGGGUGCAAGCGUUAUCCGGAUUCACUGGGUUUAAAGGGUGCGUAGGUGGGUCUGUAAGUCCGUGGUGAAAUCUCCGAGCUUAACUUGGAAACUGCCAUGGAUACUAUAGGUCUUGAAUACUGUGGAGGUCAGCGGAAUAUGUCAUGUAGCGGUGAAAUGCUUAGAUAUGACAUAGAGCACCAAUUGCGAAGGCAGCUGGCUACACAAAUAUUGACACUGAGGCACGAAAGCGUGGGGAUCAAACAGGAUUAGAUACCCUGGUAGUCCACGCCCUAAACUAUGGAUACUCGACAUACGCGAUACACAGUGUGUGUCUGAGCGAAAGCAUUAAGUAUCCCACCUGGGAAGUACGAUCGCAAGAUUGAA